GGAGAGGGUGAGGAGGUGACAGUCCUGCUUUGCUCCAGGUAGGGGCGGUACUGUCACCAGUCUCUAAGGAGGAGCAGUCUUGUGAUAGCACAGUGAGUAACUCCUGAACAUUGAGGUACAACUGGGCAGGAAGCUGGCGUUGGGCACUGGAGCUGCGGGUGACUGGGAGCCGAGGGCUGGUAAGGUCACUGCGAGCUGCUGGGGUCUGAGUGGCCCCUGGCCAUUCCCUCUUAGUCUAGAACCAGCCACCAGCCACCAGCAGGGCUGAGGAGAACCUGACCCAAAGGUCACAUGGGAGCACAAGAGACAGACAGAAUACGGACACAGAGAUGCCACGCCUCUCCCUCCCACUCCUGCUACCCCUGGAUGUCUUCGGACCCAAGGGAAGAAUCAGCGUUUUCAGCAAAAGUGACCUUCAGGUCCCCGAAGGGUAACCCAGGCAACCAUUACCAUCAUAACCCACAUGCCAGACGUGUGAUCUAUAGCAAAGCCACCAGGGGACUAAUAAUGUAGUGCCCAGCUCCAGGACCUGCAAAAUUAGUGA